rnacentral:rRNA from 1 species
UACGUAGGUGGCAAGCGUUGUCCGGAUUUAUUGGGCGUAAAGCGAGUGCAGGCGGUUCAAUAAGUCUGAUGUGAAAGCCUUCGGCUCAACCGGAGAAUUGCAUCAGAAACUGUUGAACUUGAGUGCAGAAGAGGAGAGUGGAACUCCAUGUGUAGCGGUGGAAUGCGUAGAUAUAUGGAAGAACACCAGUGGCGAAGGCGGCUGUCUGGUCUGCAACUGACGUGAGGCUCGAAAGCAUGGGGUAGCGAACAGG